CAGCAAUCUCAUCCAAUUUAGUCUCAGAUAAUCCCUUCUUAAAUGCUGAGAUUAGUCCAGUCUACCUCGGAAGCCAAGGUGCGGAAUUCUAUGGCAUACUUAGAGAUAGACCGGUUCCCUUGUCUAAUAUGCAUUAUGGCAGUAGAGGCGUCAUCCUCCCUGCCUAAUGGUUCAAACGUAAGUUUAAAUUCCGCAAGGAAUUCCUGGUAAUUGUGUGCAAUGCUCCUACUACUCUCCCAUAACAGAUUAGCC